rnacentral:piRNA from 1 species
UAGCAUGUAUGUAUGCUUUAUUCAGUGUG